GUGAACGCUGGCGGCAGGCCUAACACCUGCAAGUCGCACGGCAGCACAGUAAGAGCUUGCUCUUACGGGUGGCGAGUGGCGGACGGGUGAGGAAUACAUCGGAAUCUACUUUUUCGUGGGGGAUAACGUAGGGAAACUUACGCUAAUACCGCAUACGACCUACGGGUGAAAGCAGGGGAUCUUCGGACCUUGCGCGAUUGAAUGAGCCGAUGUCGGAUUAGCUAGUUGGCGGGGUAAAGGCCCACCAAGGCGACGAUCCGUAGCUGGUCUGAGAGGAUGAUCAGCAAAACGGAAAUGGAAAAAGGGUCCAGAUCCCAAGGGGAGGCAGAAGUGGGGAAAAUUGGAAAAUGGGGGAAAGCCUGAUCAAGCCAUACGGGGUGGGUAAAGAAGGCCUUCGGGUUGUAAAGCCUUUUGUUGGGAAAGAAAAGCAGCAGGUUAAUACCCCGCUGUUCUGACGGUACCCAAAGAAUAAGCACCGGCUAACUUCGUG
rnacentral:rRNA from 1 species